GAUGAACGCUGGCGGCGUGCCUAAUACAUGCAAGUCGAGCGAACAGACGAGGAGCUUGCUCCUCUGACGUUAGCGGCGGACGGGUGAGUAACACGUGGAUAACCUACCUAUAAGACUGGGAUAACUUCGGGAAACCGGAGCUAAUAACGGAUAAUAUAUUGAACCGCAUGGUUCAAUAGUGAAAGACGGCUUUGCUGUCACUUAUAGACGGAUCCGCGCCGCAUUAGCUAGUUGGUAAGGUAACGGCUUACCAAGGCAACGAUGCGUAGCCGACCUGAGAGGGUGAUCGGCCACACUGGAACUGAGACACGGUCCAGACUCCUACGGGAGGCAGCAGUAGGGAAUCUUCCGCAAUGGGCGAAAGCCUGACGGAGCAACGCCGCGUGAGUGAUGAAGGUCUUCGGAUCGUAAAGCUCUGUUAUUAGGGAAGAACAGCUGUAUGAGUAACUAUGCACGUCCUGACGGUACCUAAUCAAAAAGCCACGGCUAACUACGUG
rnacentral:rRNA from 1 species